rnacentral:rRNA from 1 species
AGUGCGUCUUAAGCAUGCAAGUCAAACGGGAUGUAGCAAUACAUCUAGUGGCGAACGGGUGAGUAACGCGUGGAUGAUCUACCUACGAGAUGGGGAUAACUAUUAGAAAUAGUAGCUAAUACCGAAUAAAGUCAAUUAAUUUGUUAAUUGAUGAAAGGAAGCCUCUAAAGCUUUGCUUGUAGAUGAGUCUGCGUCUUAUUAGUUAGUUGGUAGGGUAAAUGCCUACCAAGGCGAUGAUAAGUAACCGGCCUGAGAGGGUGAACGGUCACACUGGAACUGAGAUACGGUCCAGACUCCUACGGGAGGCAGCAGCUAAGAAUCUUCCGCAAUGGGCGAAAGCCUGACGGAGCGACACUGCGUGAAUGAAGAAGGUCGAAAGAUUGUAAAAUUCUUUUAUAAAUGAGGAAUAAGCUUUGUAGGAAAUGACGAAGUGAUGACGUUAAUUUAUGAAUAAGCCCCGGCUAAUUACGUGCCAGCAGCCGCGGUAAUACGUAAGGGGCGAGCGUUGUUCGGGAUUAUUGGGCGUAAAGGGUGAGUAGGCGGAUAUAUAAGUCUAUGCAUAAAAUACCACAGCUCAACUGUGGAACUAUGUUGGAAACUAUAUGUCUAGAGUCUGAUAGAGGAAGUUAGAAUUUCUGG